rnacentral:rRNA from 1 species
GUGCCAGCAGCCGCGGUAAAACGUAGGAGCCAAGCGUUAUCCGAAUUCACUGGGCGUAAAGCGCGUGCAGGCGGCCGGAUAAGUUGGAUGUGAAAUCUCCUGGCUCAACUGGGAGAGGCCGUUCAAGACUGUCGGGCUCGAGGGCGACAGAGGGAGGUGGAAUUCCGGGUGUAGUGGUGAAAUGCGUAGAUAUCCGGAGGAACACCAGAGGCGAAGGCGACCUCCUGGGUCGUACCUGACGCUGAGAUGCGAAAGCUAGGGGAGCAAACGGGAUUAGAAACCCCCGUAGUCC